CAUCAUGAUAACCAUCUUUAUUUAUUUUUUUGUCUGCUUUGCUUGUUUUAGCAUUCCAGCAUAUUCGCUAACUUUUUCUUCAUCCAUCCUGGUCACCUUUUAAAAGUGCUAUCUUUCAUUCUUCCAUUCUAAUAUUUGCUUUGCAACAUGAAUCUUCUAAACACUAUAGACACUCAACAGAGAGAAAUGUGGUUUGAUAAUCGAUGGACUUCGAUUAUGGAGUACAAGUUCCUCUCGGCUCUUCUGCCAUAUGUUGAUUUCGGUGCGUGGGAUGGCAACCCGUCAACUUUUAGCUAUGAAUUCGCACGCGAUAUUAUCGAUGACAUCAAUAGCGAGUUCAAUAUUUUACUCCCAUAUGAUUUUUACUUACUGCGUGUGGAAAAAUUGAGAGCCCGAUUUCAUCGCUUUUGUCGUCUCCUUCAUGAUCGUAGAGUCAAGUGGAAUGCCUUGUACAAUACUAUGAGUUAUUCUCCGGGAACAUUCAUGGAAUACGCACAGGCGGAUUGGGAGAUGCCUGCAUAUAGGAAUCGCGGUGAACCAAUGUUUUUCCUCCUACGUGGGAUUUUCUUUGAGCAAGGAUGAGUACGAGGUUUUAAACAAAAAAAGAAAGACCAAAUGGAUGAUUAGUUUCUUUUCUUCCUAUUGUAUGUUUGUGGUUUAGUUAAAUUCACUAAUAUUAGCAUUGCAUAAAAUAAGAUGCGGUUACAUAUUUAUUGAUGGAUUGAACUUGAAUCCUAUUCACUAUAAUCUUCAUCAUCUUCGUCUGAAUCCUCAAAUGGACUUGGGACCUCAAUUAGGCGCUUAAUAAUUUCCCAAUCUUUUUCUCCUUCUUCCAUGUAACAUAGUAAAUAUGGCUUCUCCUAUGAAAGUUACCUCCAAUAUUAUUAGUCGUACAAGAAUAAUUUUAUGACA